UGGGGAAGGGUGCCAUAAGUCUAGGGCGUGCGGCUAACUGUAAGUCUUAGUAAGAAUGAGAGCAAUGAGUGGUCCAAGUGGGAGUUGGACAUGGGUUAGUCGAUCCUAAGCUAUAGGGAAGUUCCGUUUCAAAGGCGCACUUUGCGCCGUCUAGCGAAAGGGGAGCCGGUCAAUAUUCCGGCACCUGGAUGUGGGUUUUGCGCGGCAACGCAACUGAACGUGGAGACGACGGCGGGAGCCCCAGGCAGAGUUAUCUUUUCUUCUUAACGGUCUAUCACCCUGAAAUCGGUUUGUCCGGAGCUAGGGUUUAAUGGCCGGAAGAGCCCAGCACCUCUGUUGGGUCUGGUGCGCUCUCGACGUCCCUUGAAAAUCCACGGGAAGGAAUAAUUCUCACGCCAGGUCGUACUCAUAACCGCAGCAGGUCUCCAAGGUGAACAGCCUCU
rnacentral:ncRNA from 1 species